rnacentral:rRNA from 1 species
AACGAACGCUGGCGGCAGGCUUAACACAUGCAAGUCGAGCGCCCCGCAAUGGGAGCGGCAGACGGGUGAGUAACGCGUGGGAAUCUACCCAUCUCUACGGAACAACUCCGGGAAACUCGAGCUAAUACCGUAUACGUCCUUCGGGAGAAAGAUUUAUCGGAGAUGGAUGAGCCCGCGUUGGAUUAGCUAGUUGGUGGGGUAAUGGCCUACCAAGGCGACGAUCCAUAGCUGGUCUGAGAGGAUGAUCAGCCACACUGGGACUGAGACACGGCCCAGACUCCUACGGGAGGCAGC